AACUUGGCCAUGUGCUGAGAAAUGUGUAUUUGUCGGCUAUGGGAUCGAUCAAAUCGGUUACCGGUGUUAUAAUCCAACAACUCGUCAAAGGUUCACCACAAUGAAUGUUGACUUUCUUGAAACAAAAUACUUUUAUAACACCCAACUCAGUGGUCAGGGGGAGAAUGACAGUAUAGACACUCUGAGCUGGCUAACCCAAAUUCCCUCAUCUGAAUAAGUCACAACAGAAAACUAUCACAGUACUACGAGUCCUUCAAACACAGACACACAAUCCACGGAGCACAGUACCACUGAAGAAAGUCCAUCCAACGUGAUGCCUGAGGUUGAACCAGUUAUUGAACAUGUUGAAUCAGUUGCAGCGGAGACUACCGGAAGAUACUCUCUUCCACCUAGAGCCAAUAGAGGAGUUCCUCCAAAACGAUACCUACUUCCGUAAAGGAAGCUCAAGGUAAGAAGAACUGGGAAGAAGCAAUGGAAGUGGA
rnacentral:lncRNA from 1 species